GGGUCUCACAGGAAAUCCAGGCGUUUCAGGUCCAGAAGGCAAGUCGGGUCCUUUGGGUGCACCAGGAGAAGAUGGCCGCCCAGGCCCAGCAGGUUCCAUAGGGAUUAGAGGCCAGCCAGGGAGUAUGGGUCUCCCCGGGCCAAAGGGCAGUAGCGGGGACCCCGGAAAACCUGGAGAAGCCGGCAACGCGGGCG